rnacentral:sRNA from 1 species
GCAAGGAACUGGUCGCUCACUCCAGCGAUUUUCUCGACGGCCAACUGACCCUGCGCCAGCGCCUGGCUGUACGCACACACCUAGCCAUGUGCAGCCACUGUCGGCGUUUUAUCCGCCAGAUGAAACUGACCCAGGCGGUGAUCCGGCAGAUGCCGGAGGGCGAAUUACCCGAACUCGAUGCCCUGGCUGAGCGCCUGGCGCAGGAUCGGCGUAAUCAGGGGUGAACUGAGGGCUUGCUAGACGGCUUGGUGUCGCUCACUUGGGCAAGUCACUGCGUAGGGUGGAUGACGCUU